rnacentral:rRNA from 1 species
CCUGGUUGAUCCUUGCCAGUAGUCAUAUGCUUGUCUCAAAGAUUAAGCCAUGCAUGUGCAAGUAUGGACCAAUUUGAACUGUGAAACUGCAAAUGACUCAUUAAAUCAAUUAUAGUUUGUUUGAUGGUACGUGCUACUCGGAUAACCCUAGAGAUAAUACGUGCAACAAACCCCGACUUCUGGGAGGGGUGCAUCUAUUAGAUAAAAGGCUGUCAUGGGAUCUGCCCGCUGAUCCGAUGAUUCAUGAUAACUCGACAAAUCGCACGACCCUCGUGCUGGUGACGCAUCAUUCAAAUUUCCGCCCUAUCAACUUUCCAUUAUAGGAUAGGGGCUUGCCAUGGUGGUGAUGGGUGACGGAGAAUUAGGGUUUGAUUCCAGAGAGGGAGCCUAAGAAACGGCUGCCACAUCCAAGGAAAGCAGCAGGCGCGCAAAUUACCCAAUCCUGACACGGGGAGGUACUGACAAUAAAUAACAAUACCAAGCGCAUUAGUGUCUGGUAAUUGGAAUGAGUACAAUCUAAAUCCUUUAACGAGGAUCCAUUGGAGGGCAAGUCCGGUGCCAGCAACCUCGGUAAUUCCAGCUCCAAUAGCGUAUAUUUAAGUUGUUGCAGUUAAAAAGCUCGUAGUUGGACUUUGGGCCGGGUCGACCGGUCCGCGUCACGAAGAGCACCGACCUACUCGACCCUUCAGUCGGCGAUGCGCUCCUAACCUUAAUUGGCCGGGUUGUACCUCCGGCAUCGUUACUUUGAAGAAAUUAGAGUGCUCAAAGAAAGCCAUCGCUCUGGAUAUACAAUAGGACGGGAUAACAUCAUAGGAUUCUGGUCAUAUUGUGUUGGCCUUCGAGGUCGGAGUAAUGAUUAAUAGGGCAGUCGGGGGUAUUCGUAUUUCAUAGUCAGAGGUGAAAUUCUUGGAUUUAUGAAAGAAGAACAGCUGUGAAAGCAUUUGCCAAGGAUCGGCAGAUGUUGCAUAUAGGACUCCGCCGGCACCUUAUGAGAAAUCAAAGUCUUUGGGUUCCAUGGGGAGUAUGGUCGCAAGGCUGAAACUUAAAGGAAUUGACGGAAGGGCACCACCAAGCGUGGAGCCUGCGGCUUAAUUUGACUCAACACGGGGAAACUUACCAGGUCCAGACAUAGCAAGGAUUGUGUGAUAACCUGCCUUAUUAGGAAUAAUAGACUACUCAUAUCAAUAAGGAAUGUUCUUCUUUUCGGGAAGCCCAUUUGGACAUAACUCCAAAGUUAAGCGUGCUUGGCUUAGAGUAAUUUUAGGAUGGGUGACCGGGUAAUCUUGGGAAAUUUUAUUGUGACUAGCAAAAAUGCUCGUGCGUUGCAACGGGAGAAAAAAAACAUGCCCCUAUCUUAAUAAGCAUAGUCCCAAUAUCUCCACAGGUCCACAUCCUUUUUUUCAACAUGAUGCCAUCCCAUGUCACCGCCUAUCCUCCUUCCCGCCGUCACUGAUAGUGGUCCUAGUGCCCGAGACUAUUGUCGUACUUUGCUACAAAGCAAAGCGAACGCUGCUAGAAAUGAGUUGAGCAUGUUUAACAUAACUUCCUAUCAUGAAUAAUAAAUAGCACAUAGGUUAUUAAUAGUACAAACAAUCAAAUUUUGCAACCUUUUAUUGUACUCCCUCCGUUCCAAAUUACUCGUCGCAGAAAUGGAUGUAUUUAAAACUAAAA